ACGUACACUCCUACGGGAGGCAGCAGUAGGGAAUCUUCCACAAUGGGUGCAAACCUGAUGGAGCAAUGCCGCGUGAGUGAAGAAGGUCUUCGGAUCGUAAAGCUCUGUUGUUAGAGAAGAACACAUGCUAGGUAACUACUAGCGCCUUGACGGUAUCUAACCAGAAAGUCACGGCUAACUACGUGCCAGCAGCCGCGGUAAUACGUAGGUGACAAGCGUUGUCCGGAUUUAUUGGGCGUAAAGGGAGCGCAGGCGGUCUGUUUAGUCUAAUGUGAAAGCCCACGGCUUAACCGUGGAACGGCAUUGGAAACUGACAGACUUGAAUGUAGAAGAGGAAAAUGGAAUUCCAAGUGUAGCGGUGGAAUGCGUAGAUAUUUGGAGGAACACCAGUGGCGAAGGCGAUUUUCUGGUCUAACAUUGACGCUGAGGCUCGAAAGCGUGGGGAGCGAACAGGAUUAGAAACCCCUGUAGUCCCAUGAU
rnacentral:rRNA from 1 species